GGUUAAGCGACUAAGCGUACACGGUGGAUGCCCUGGCAGUCAGAGGCGAUGAAGGRCGUGCUAAUCUGCGAUAAGCGCCGGUAAGGUGAUAUGAACCGUUAUAACCGGCGAUWYCCGAAUGGGGAAACCCAGUGUGAYUCGUCACACUAUCAUUAACUGAAUCCAUAGGUUAAUGAGGCGAACCGGGGGAACUGAAACAUCUAAGUACCCCGAGGAAAAGAAAUCAACCGAGAUUCCCCCAGUAGCGGCGAGCGAACGGGGAGGAGCCCAGAGCCUGAAUCAGCAUGUGUGUUAGUGGAAGCGUCUGGAAAGGCGCGCGAUACAGGGUGACAGCCCCGUACACAAAAGCGCAUGUGCUGUGAGCUCGAUGAGUAGGGCGGGACACGUGGUAUCCUGUCUGAAUAUGGGGGGACCAUCCUCCAAGGCUAAAUACUCCUGACUGACCGAUAGUGAACCAGUACCGUGAGGGAAAGGCGAAAAGAACCCCGGCGAGGGGAGUGAAAAAGAACCUGAAACCGUGUACGUACAAGCAGUGGGAGCCCCACCACUAAGCCAGUGGUGAACUCCACAUACGCAUCCUUUGCUGAGGAUACGGUUAACGGAGCGAAAGCGACGUUCAACCUCAAAAGAAGCAGAGGGGGCUUAGUGGUGGGGUGACUGCGUACCUUUUGUAUAAUGGGUCAGCGACUUAUAUUCUGUAGCAAGGUUAACCGMAUAGGGGAGCCGGAGGGAAACCGAGUCUUAAUUGGGCGUUAAGUUGCAGGGUAUAGACCCGAAACCCGGUGAUCUAGCCAUGGGCAGGUUGAAGGUUGGGUAACACUAACUGGAGGACCGAACCGACUAAUGUUGAAAAAUUAGCGGAUGACCUGUGGCUGGGGGUGAAAGGCCAAUCAAACCGGGAGAUAGCUGGUUCUCCCCGAAAGCUAUUUAGGUAGCGCCUCGUGAAYUCAUCUCCGGGGGUAGAGCACUGUUUCGGCUAGGGGGCCAUCCCGGCUUACCAACCCGAUGCAAACUGCGAAUACCGGAGAAUGUUAUCACGGGAGACACACGGCGGGUGGAUACGUUCGUUGGGUAGGGGAGCGUUCUGUAAGCCUGYGAAGGUGGCCUGUGAGGGUUGCUGGAGGUAUCAGAAGUGCGAAUGCUGACAUAAGUAACGAUAAAGCGGGUGAAAAGCCCGCUCGCCGGAAGACCAAGGGUUCCUGUCCAACGUUAAUCGGGGCAGGGUGAGUCGACCCCUAAGGCGAGGCCGAAAGGCGUAGUCGAUGGGAAACGGGUUAAUAUUCCCGUACUUGGUGUUACUGCGAAGGGGGGACGGAGAAGGCUAUGUUGGCCGGGCGACGGUUGUCCCGGUUUAAGCGUGUAGGUGUGUGUUCCAGGUAAAUCCGGUUCACUUUAACACUGAGGCGUGAYGACGAGGCACUACGGUGCUGAAGCAACAAAUGCCCUGCUUCCAGGAAAAGCCUCUAAGCAUCAGGUAACAUCAAAUCGUACCCCAAACCGACACAGGUGGUCAGGUAGAGAAUACCAAGGCGCUUGAGAGAACUCGGGUGAAGGAACUAGGCAAAAUGGUGCCGUAACUUCGGGAGAAGGCACGCUGACACGUAGGUGAAGUGAUUUACUCAYGGAGCUGAAGUCAGUCGAAGAUACCAGCUGGCUGCAACUGUUUAUUAAAAACACAGCACUGUGCAAACACGAAAGUGGACGUAUACGGUGUGACGCCUGCCCGGUGCCGGAAGGUUAAUUGAUGGGGUCAGCGCAAGCGAAGCUCCUGAUCGAAGCCCCGGUAAACGGCGGCCGUAACUAUAACGGUCCUAAGGUAGCGAAAUUCCUUGUCGGGUAAGUUCCGACCUGCACGAAUGGCGUAAUGAUGGCCAGGCUGUCUCCACCCGAGACUCAGUGAAAUUGAACUCGCUGUGAAGAUGCAGUGUACCCGCGGCAAGACGGAAAGACCCCGUGAACCUUUACUAUAGCUUGACACUGAACAUUGAGCCUUGAUGUGUAGGAUAGGUGGGAGGCUUUGAAGYGUGGACGCCAGUCUGCRUGGAGCCGACCUUGAAAUACCACCCUUUAAUGUUUGAUGUUCUAACGUGGACCCGUWAYCCGGGUUGCGGACAGUGUCUGGUGGGUAGUUUGACUGGGGCGGUCUCCUCCUAAAGAGUAACGGAGGAGCACGAAGGUUGGCUAAUCCUGGUCGGACAUCAGGAGGUUAGUGCAAUGGCAUAAGCCAGCUUGACUGCGAGCGUGACGGCGCGAGCAGGUGCGAAAGCAGGUCAUAGUGAUCCGGUGGUUCUGAAUGGAAGGGCCAUCGCUCAACGGAUAAAAGGUACUCCGGGGAUAACAGGCUGAUACCGCCCAAGAGUUCAUAUCGACGGCGGUGUUUGGCACCUCGAUGUCGGCUCAUCACAUCCUGGGGCUGAAGUAGGUCCCAAGGGUAUGGCUGUUCGCCAUUUAAAGUGGUACGCGAGCUGGGUUUAGAACGUCGUGAGACAGUUCGGUCCCUAUCUGCCGUGGGCGCUGGAGAACUGAGGGGGGCUGCUCCUAGUACGAGAGGACCGGAGUGGACGCAUCACUGGUGUUCGGGUUGUCAUGCCAAUGGCACUGCCCGGUAGCUAAAUGCGGAAGAGAUAAGUGCUGAAAGCAUCUAAGCACGAAACUUGCCCCGAGAUGAGUUCUCCCUGAGACUUWRAGUCUCCUGAAGGAACGUUGAAGACGACGACGUUGAUAGGCCGGGUGUGUAAGCGCAGCGAUGCGUUGAGCUAACCGGUACUAAUGAACCGUGAGGCUUAACCUU
rnacentral:rRNA from 1 species